UACGUAGGGGGCGAGCGUUGUCCGGAUUUAUUGGGCGUAAAGAGCUCGUAGGCGGCUCGGUAAGUCGGAUGUGAAACCUCCAGGCUCAACCUGGAGACGCCAUCUGAUACUGCCGUGGCUUGAGUCCGGUAGAGGAGCAGGGAAUUCCUGGUGUAGCGGUGAAAUGCGCAGAUAUCAGGAGGAACACCAGCGGCGAAGGCGGCUCUCUGGAACGGUACUGACGCUGAGACGCGAAAGCGUGGGGAGCGAACAGG
rnacentral:rRNA from 1 species